CUUUUCCGUUGAGUUGGCCGAAAAAAUUUCCGAUGCAAAAGAAAAAGGGCAAAAAGAAAAAAUGAUCCGAUUCUUCUAAAUCAAGGAAAUUCUUCAUAAAACUGAAGAUGUUUUCAUUUCAUUUUGUUUGGAAGUUGAUCUCUUCGAAGUGUUCAAUUACAUUCUAAUUCAGGCAAUUACCCCAAAAAAAUGGCGGUUUCACAAGUUCAGUUGUUCAAUAGUUUAUGCACGCCGCGUGCGCCGCCUACAGCUUACUCAACAUUGCAUUCUUGGUCUCUAAACUCAUUGAGUUACGAAUCGUUCCGUGUCAAGGGAGGUUUAAGUUAUUCUCCUUCCAGGUCGUCUCGGGUUCGAGCCCUACAUAGAGAUAAAUGGGAAAGAACAGAGCAUUAUCCACUCGCCGAUGAUUCUACAGAUAACAAUCAGACUCAUGGCCGAGGUCAUUACAGCGUAAUUUUGCUGGAACACCUUAUGUUCCUGUAUAUGUAAUGCUGCCGGUGGGUGUUAUUGAUAUGAAUUGUGAGUUGGUUGACCCAGAGGGUUUAAAGAAUCAGUUAAGGAUUUUGAAUUCAGUUAAUGUGGAUGGUGUAAUGGUUGAUUGCGGGUGGGGUAUAAUUGAGGCGCAUGCCCCUUAAACGUAUAAUUGGACUGGCUACAGGAGGCUUUUCGAAAUUGUGCGUGAUGUUGGGCUUAAGUUGCAGGUGAGUAAUGGUGCUUUAAUUCAUGUUUUGUUAUGUUUGUUUUAACAACUA